GAGAGGGGAUAGGAAUCAAUAAGUGCUGCUAAUACUUAUAAACCGGGGUUAAAAUCCGCGGCCUUCUUA
rnacentral:tRNA from 1 species